GAAAUGCUUAGAUAUCACGAAGAACUCCGAUUGCGAAGGCAGCUUGCUGGACUGUAACUGACGCUGAUGCUCGAAAGUGUGGGUAUCAAACAGGAUUAGAUACCCUGGUAGUCCACACAGUAAACGAUGAAUACUCGCUGUUUGCGAUAUACAGUAAGCGGCCAAGCGAAAGCGUUAAGUAUUCCACCUGGGGAGUACGCCGGCAACGGUGAAACUCAAAGGAAUUGACGGGGGCCCGCACAAGCGGAGGAACAUGUGGUUUAAUUCGAUGAUACGCGAGGAACCUUACCCGGGCUUGAAUUGCAACUGAAUGAUGUGGAGACAUGUCAGCCGCAAGGCAGUUGUGAAGGUGCUGCAUGGUUGUCGUCAGCUCGUGCCGUGAGGUGUCGGCUUAAGUGCCAUAACGAGCGCAACCCUUAUCGAUAGUUACCAUCAGGUUAUGCUGGGGACUCUGUCGAGACUGCCGUCGUAAGAUGUGAGGAAGGUGGGGAUGACGUCAAAUCAGCACGGCCCUUACGUCCGGGGCUACACACGUGUUACAAUGGGGGGUACAGAAGGCAGCUACACGGCGACGUGAUGCUAAUCCCUAAAGCCUCUCUCAGUUCGGAUUGGAGUCUGCAACCCGACUCCAUGAAGCUGGAUUCGCUAGUAAUCGCGCAUCAGCCACGGCGCGGUGAAUACGUUCCCGGGCCUUGUACACACCGCCCGUCAAGCCAUGAAAGCCGGGGGUACCUGAAGUGCGUAACCGCAAGGAGCGCCCUAGGGUAAAACUGGUGAUUGGGGCUAAGUCGUAACAAGGUAGCCGUACCGGAAGGUGCGGCUG
rnacentral:rRNA from 1 species